CUUCCACUUCCCCAAGCUUUUUGGGAUUUGGCAACCGACCCACCAUGUGAGCGAACACUGCCUCCAUCUGAUUCCAUUGUCUGUUUAUGUUUGAUUUCGCCAUGGUUCUGGGAGCGGUCGGAGGCGGCGUGGUUCAUGUUCAACGUGACUUGCAUGCAUGGGGUUCUCCCCUCUUUUCCAAUGAUGUAUUAUUAUUGGCAUCUUAUCUUAUAAUAAGAAAAGAAAAAGUUGAUACGAGAA